rnacentral:rRNA from 1 species
UGCUAAUACCGGAUAACAACAGAUGAUGCCUAUCAACUGUUUAAAAAGAUGGUUCUGCUAUCACUCUUGGAUGGACCUGCGGUGCAUUAGCUAGUUGGUAGGGUAACGGCCUACCAAGGCGAUGAUACAUAGCCGAGUUGAGAGACUGAUCGGCCACAUUGGGACUGAGACACGGCCCAAACUCCUACGGGAGGCAGCAGUAGGGAAAUCUUCCACAAUGGACGCAAGUCUGAUGGAGCAACGCCGCGUGAGUGAAGUAAGGGUUUCGGCUACGUAAAGCUCUGUUGUUGGUGAAGAAGGACAGGGGUAGUAACUGACCUUUGUUUGACGGUAAUCAAUUAGAAAGUCACGGCUAACUACGUGCCAGCAGCCGCGGGUAAU